rnacentral:rRNA from 1 species
AACGAACGCUGGCGGCAGGCUUAACACAUGCAAGUCGAGCGCCCCGCCAGGGGAGCGGCAGACGGGUGAGUAACGCGUUGGAACGUACCUUUUGGUUCGGAACAACUCCGGGACACUGGAGCUAAUACCGGAUAAGCCCUAACGGGGAAAGAUUUAUCGCCGAAAGAUCGGCCCGCGUCUGAUUAGCUAGUUGGUGAGGUAACGGCUCACCAAGGCGACGAUCAGUAGCUGGUCUGAGAGGAUGAUCAGCCACACUGGGACUGAGACACGGCCCAGACUCCUACGGGAGGCAGCAGUGGGGAAUAUUGGACAAUGGGCGCAAGCCUGAUCCAGCCAUGCCGCGUGAGUGAUGAAGGCCUUAGGGUUGUAAAGCUCUUUUGUCCGGGAAGAUAAUGACUGUACCGGAAGAAUAAGCCCCGGCUAACUUCGUG